GGUCGGAUUGGAUUGGCCCCCCAAAACGACGCCGUUUUGGGCGUAUGGGGGGCCUAAUGAAACUACGUCGUUUCGACGUUAUAUUUAAACCCCUCCUUUUUUUUUUAAUCCUCAUUUCUGCCCUCUUUUCAUAAAAAAAACUAAAGGAACCUUUAAUCUCUCCCCUCUCUUCCCCAUGCCGACGAUCGGGUUUCUUCGUCGCACCACCGCACCACCACCGUAUCCGGUGGCCGGUGAUGCGCAAAAAGGGGCUUUUAGCCUGCUUCAAACGGAUCCAAAGCAAGGCUCUCCAAAAUCCGAAGAAAAACGAAAGAAAAGGCUUCUCCCCUUCCCUUUUAGAUCCGAUCUAGACGAAUGAGAAGAGUCUUUCGACGGUGUGACCGUGGGUUCUCCGGUGAAAGGCCGAUGGUUGGUGCCCCAAGCGGUGGUGGUGGCGCGCGUGAUGGCCAAGGGCAGAGGGGGGAGUGGCGGCUAAACUUUGGUGGCUAGGGUUAGGGUGGCUGCUGAAAAAAAAUUUAAGAUAGUGGACUGACUUGAGCUUUAGGGUUUUAGGUUAUUGAGUUUAUUUUGGGCUAAAAUCUGGGUAUUGGGUUUUAAUUAAAUUUUGUUUUAAUUUUGGGUCAUGGACUAUUUUUUUGUUUAUUUGAUUUGGGUUCUUUUAGGCCGAAAUUGGCUAUUACAAAGUCAA